GACGAACGCUGGCGGCGUGCUUAACACAUGCAAGUCGAACGGAAAGGCCCUGCUUUCGUGGGGUGCUCGAGUGGCGAACGGGUGAGUAACACGUGAGUAACCUGCCCUUGACUUUGGGAUAACUUCAGGAAACUGGAGCUAAUACCGUAUAGGAGCUCCUGUUGCAUGGUGGGGGUUGGAAAGUUUCGGCGGUCGGGGAUGGAUUAGCGGCUUAUCAGCUUGUUGGUGGGGUAGUGGCUUACCAAGGCUUUGACGGGUAGCCGGCCUGAGAGGGUGACCGGCCACAUUAGGACUGAGAUACGGACCAGACUGCUACGGGAGGCAACAGGGGGAAGUAUGGCACAAUGGGCGGGAGCCUGAUGCAGCAACGCUGCGUGCGGGAUGACGGCCUUCGGGUAGAAAACCGCUUUAGCCUAUGACGAAGCGUGUGUGACGGUAAUGGGUAAAGAAGCACCGGCUAACUACGUG
rnacentral:rRNA from 1 species